UGAAGGAGGGUGCAUCCACGGACCCACAGAGCUCCUAUCCCUCACCUUGGUUGGAAGAGACCACAGCCAAAGGGGACUUGAAAGACUUUUUACAGUGUGGUCCUGACGCUGUACCUCAGUCGAGGUGRCAAGAGACGUACCCGUGAAUUAGAACAGAAUGGCGGAUCACUCAUAAUCAAAAUGAACACUAUGGACMGGGACAUCUCUGGAGACCUGUGGGCACCCACAGAGCUGGCCCUGAGUCAAGAGUGAACRUGGACGCUCAGUCCACAGAGCGGCUUCACUCUUGAGGGUACGUGGGGGGCAUUGUGAGGGACACGUGGCUGAGCAGGAGCCGAGCCUCGGAGAGCAGGUGCUGCGCCGUGGACCUCAGGCCCAGGGCCUCCGCAGACAGAGGACACGGGGCUGGGAGGCGGGCCACAUCAGCCCCUGGCUCUGGCACAGAGCACGCUCCCUUCUGGACUUGUGCUAACUGUUUCCCUGCUCUGGGAGCUCGCCUCCCUCCUCAGGCCAGAGACACUGCUCAAAGGUGAGGCCGUCACAAACCCUCCACAGUCUCCUGAACACAGUGCCACAUGGAGUCCUUCCACCUUCCUCUGCUCCACGGCUCGUUCGGUUGUUUUGUUAGUCAAGAGGAGUGACUGAAAAUCCCAGACAGAGACUUAAGAGAAGUKGAGCCCUUCUCUCCUGGUAAGGCUGGCUGGAGGUGAGGAAAGCGGUCACCUGCUAACCUCUGCUCUACCUUCCAGAAGUGGGGGCCCCAGAGCCUCGUUGUCUGCCGCUGCUCCUCAGCCUGCUCAAGCUCAGGCAGCUGGAAGGCGCCUGUCUCCCCAGCACACACCUUGAUGCGGUGCCAGGUCCUCUGUAUCCUGUUGGGCAACGGCAGUCGAGCAGGCACAGGUGCUAGCUUGCUGGUGGCCUAGUUAUUAAAGGUUCAGAGGAGGGAAGACUGGACGGCUGGCCUGAGUGUCAAGCAGCGUGUGCAGACCUGCAGCUUGGACACGGCCGCGGUGGGUGCUCAGAGCACCUCAGGUCUGUUGGAAAGCUGCUCGGCACCACCAGGUCUCUGCUCCCACUGYGCAGGGUCCAGCAGAGGCUGAGCCCCAGCUGGUGUGCGUUACCCCAUUCUCCUUUGUCCCCACCCCUCGUCCCCAGGGAGGCCUGCAGGUACUCUUCCCGAGGCUUCCUGUGAGGUGCGCACAUGGGUCCCUCGUCCUACCCUUGGGCACUUAAGCCCAUUGGUGCAGAACACAAAAGGUGGGUCUAGGUGCUAGGCCUUGACGUGUGGAGAGUCUGGGAGACGCAGAUUCCAGCACCCCUCAGCCCAGCCUGAUCUCGGCUCCUUGAGCAUGUGCUAAAGAGAGACGAAGAGGCUGAGCACCUGGGCCGCGUGGCGGCCACUCGAGGACUGYAGCCCGCAGAGACCGGAGGCCACAGGGCCCCUCUCCUGGAGCAAUGUUGUCAGACUUGGGCCCCUCCUCCACCGCCAUCCUCCACACCCGUCACCGGGUUCCGCUUUGAGCAGCGGUGGGACAGGAGGCGGUGGUCAGCGGACCUCAGGCCCUCGUUCUGUCUYGACCCUCCAGGAGCUGAGGUGCUGCACGGGCUAGGCACACAGCCCCCCAUAUCUCAGGUAGACACACCUUAAAAGUCUACCCUUGAAGGACACAUCACGAGCUUGCUGUUGCCUGGGCAGGAGGUUUCGGCCAGGAGAGGCCAGUGGAGGCAAGUCCCUCCAUGGAGAGCUUUCCAUAGCUGAAGAUGGUUCUUGGUAGGAGGUGCGCCUGCACCCACUCAGGCCUGGAAGACUCGGCAGAGGGCUUGCAGAGGCCUGAGGGAGGAGAGCUCCUGGGCCCUGCUGUCCACCUCGGCACGCUGCCUUGUCUGCAGACCUGGCCUGGAGAGCGUCUGCCCCUCCCUGAGGCGGGCGCCUUCCUCCUGGGACUGCCCUCCUGCUGCCCAGCGCUGGCAGAUUCAGGAUACCACCAGCAGGAAGUGGGCGCCUGGAGUGGGGCCUGCCUGGCUGCCCUGUCCCCAGUGACCAGUCCCUCAGCAUGGCCUUUCUCUUAAGAGCAGCUACAGAAAGCAAAAGUCUUGUGUCCCCAGGGCGACUGAGCCACACACUCGGCCUCUCUGUGUCUCUGGUGUGGUUCCUGAGAGUGGUUCUGAUGCUUCAUUACUGAUCCGAGUACCCUGAACUAGGACAGCUCACGUUCCCCGCUUUUCU